rnacentral:rRNA from 1 species
CCUACGGGUGGCAGCAGUGAGGAAUAUUGGUCAAUGGACGAGAGUCUGAACCAGCCAAGUAGCGUGAAGGAUGACUGCCCUAUGGGUUGUAAACUUCUUUUGUCUGGGACUAAAACAGGUUAUGCAUACCCUCUUGUAUGUACCAUAUGAAUAAGGAUCGGCUAACUCCGUGCCAGCAGCCGCGGUAAUACGGAGGAUCCGAGCGUUAUCCGGAUUUCUUGGGUUUAAAGGGGGCUUAGGUGGAUUGUUAAGUCAGUUGUGAAAGUUUGCGGCUCAACCGUAAAAUUGCAGUUGAAACUGGAAGUUCUGAGUAAAGUAGAGGUGGGCGGAAUGAGUGGUGGAGCGGUGAAAUGCUUAGAUAUCACGAAGAACGCCGAUUGCGAAGGCAGCUUACUAAACUAUAACUGACACUGAAGCACGAAAGCGUGGGGAUCAAACAGGAUUAGAUACCCGUGUAGUC